CCCUUAGAUGUCCUGGGCCGCACGCGCGUCACACUGAUGCAUUCAACGAGCAUAUAACCUUGGCCGAGAGGCCUGGGUAAUCUUGUUAACAUGCAUCGUGAUAGGGAUAGAUUAUUGCAAUUAUUAAUCUUGAACGAGGAAUUCCUAGUAAUCGCAGUUCAUCAAACUGCAAUGAUUACGUCCCUGCCCUUUGUACACACCGCCCGUCGCACCUACCGAUUGAAUGGUCCGGUGAGGACUCGGGAUUGUGGUUUAGCUCCUUCAUUGGGGCCUGACUGCGAGAACUUGUCCGAACCUUAUCAUUUAGAGGAAGGUGAAGUCGUAACA
rnacentral:rRNA from 1 species